rnacentral:rRNA from 1 species
UUUGAUCCUGGCUCAGGACGAACGCUGGCGGCGUGCUUAACACAUGCAAGUCGAACGGUGAAGCGGGUGCUUGCACUCGUGGAUCAGUGGCGAACGGGUGAGUAACACGUGAGUAACCUGCCCUCCACUCUGGGAUAAGCGCUGGAAACGGCGUCUAAUACUGGAUACGACCGACCCUCGCAUGGGGUGUUGGUGGAAAGAUUUAUCGGUGGUGGAUGGACUCGCGGCCUAUCAGCUUGUUGGUGGGGUAAUGGCCUACCAAGGCGACGACGGGUAGCCGGCCUGAGAGGGCGACCGGCCACACUGGGACUGAGACACGGCCCAGACUCCUAACGGGAGGCAGCAGUGGGGAAUAUUGCACAAUGGGCGAAAGCCUGAUGCAGCGACGCCGCGUGAGGGAUGACGGCCUUCGGGUUGUAAACCUCUUUCAGCAGGGAAGAAGCUUUUGUGACGGUACCUGCAGAAGAAGCACCGGCUAACUACGUGCCAGCAGCCGCGGUAAUACGUGAGGGUGCGAGCGUUGUCCGGAAUUAUUGGGCGUAAAGAGCUUGUAGGCGGUUUGUCGCGUCUGCUGUGAAAAUUCAGGGCUUAACCCUGGACGUGCAGUGGGUACGGGCAGACUAGAGUGUGGUAGGGGAGACUGGAAUUCCUGGUGUAGCGGUGGAAUGCGCAGAUAUCAGGAGGAACACCGAUGGCGAAGGCAGGUCUCUGGGCCAUUACUGACGCUGAGAAGCGAAAGCAUGGGGAGCGAACAGGAUUAGAUACCCUGGUAGUCCAUGCCGUAAACGUUGGGCGCUAGGCGUGGGUCUCAUUCCACGAGAUCCGUGUCGCAGCUAACGCAUUAAGCGCCCCGCCUGGGGAGUACGGCCGCAAGGCUAAAACUCAAAGGAAUUGACGGGGGCCCGCACAAGCGGCGGAGCAUGCUGAUUAAUUCGAUGCAACGCGAAGAACCUUACCAAGGCUUGACAUGCACCGGAUCGCCUCAGAGAUGGGGUUUCCCUUUGGGCUGGUGCACAGGUGGUGCAUGGUUGUCGUCAGCUCGUGUCGUGAGAUGUUGGGUUAAGUCCCGCAACGAGCGCAACCCUCGUUCUAUGUUGCCAGCACGUGAUGGUGGGGACUCAUAGGAGACUGCCGGGGUCAACUCGGAGGAAGGUGGGGAUGACGUCAAAUCAUCAUGCCCCUUAUGUCUUGGGCUUCAAGCAUGCUACAAUGGCCGGUACAGAGGGUUGCGAAACCGUGAGGUGGAGCGAAUCCCAAAAAACCGGUCUCAGUUCGGAUUGGGGUCUGCAACUCGACCCCAUGAAGUCGGAGUCGCUAGUAAUCGCAGAUCAGCAACGCUGCGGUGAAUACGUUCCCGGGCCUUGUACACACCGCCCGUCAAGUCACGAAAGUCGGUAACACCCGAAGACGGUGGCCUAACCCUUGUGGAAGGAGCCGUCUAAGGUGGGACCGGUGAUUGGGACUAAGUCGUAACAAGGUAGCCGUACCGGAAGGUGCGGCUGGAUCACCUC